rnacentral:rRNA from 1 species
UACGUAGGGGGCAAGCGUUGUCCGGAAUCAUUGGGCGUAAAGAGCGUGUAGGCGGCCCGAUAAGUCCGCUGUGGAAAGUCCAGGGCUCAACCCUGGAAUGCCGGUGGAUACUGUCGGGCUCGAAUCCGGAAGAGGUGAGUGGAAUUCCUGGUGUAGCGGUGAAAUGCGUAGAUAUUGGGAGGAACACCAGUGGCGAAGGCGGCAUCCUGGACCAACACUGACGCUGAUGAGCGAAAGCCAGGGGAGCAAACGGG